ensembl:lncRNA
CGAAUCUGCCCCGCGCGCGUCCGCUGAGGCGCUGUGGGGGUUGGGGUGAGCGGCCGGUGCUCGCGCCCACGUCCCGUCAGCGUCGGUAUGGGGAGAUUGCAGUUCCGUGUGAAAGCACAUCUGUUACCAGCGGGCUGUGGUAUCAUUCAAGGAAUUGUCAAAGCACGCGUUCUGUUACAGAGGUGUGCUCCAAGGAUACACAGACACGAACUCACAGGGCUUUCCCUGCGGUUGGAUGCCUCCCAAGUCUCUCACUGGAAGAUGCACUUGCUUUUUAAUUAUACACAUAUAUGUUAUAAAUUCCUGAGUAUUUUCUCCGUCUUCUUCAGCCAAGAACAAAUUGUAGUAUCAGAUGUCUCACUUCUUUGGAUCCACACCGUGCAAAUACCGUAUGAUGGUGGCAGAGGCAUGCUGGUGUUUUUGACAGCGAACAAAAUGAUGAUGAUGGUUUUCAAAUGACUUGGAGGCCCGUUUCCUCCCUCCCCAGCACAUGGUCAGUUCUACUCCUGUUAUUCUGAUGGCACGUACUCCAGGCAUUUUACUUUUCAGGAAGGUAGCAGUACGUAACUCACCAGCUGCACUACACCGAGCCACACAGCUGUGGGCUGCUGCUCCCCUCCUUCCUCAGCAUCCCGCUGCACCUUGCUCUCCCACAGGGCAGCGCAGAGAUGAAAGGCUGAACACAAGCCUGAGGAAUGUCAGGAUUCAAGCUAUAACCUUUCCAUCCCAUCCUCUUUGUUUCUAUGGCCUUUGCUGUGCACUGCAGAGUAACUUGCUUUGACGAAGAAGAAAAAUUCCCAAAUAGGUGUUUGGGUUUGUUGAGAUUCAAGGAAGGGUGGGAAGAAAGAAGUGAAUAGUUAUGUUGCUAGAAAUUAAACAAACAAACAAAACUCUUUUAUUUCUAUUAGCUUGACUAAAGAAAAAAUACAGUUCUGUGUUUUACUUCUGUGUCCUAAACGUCACUCUUCCUCUCUUUGAGAAGAAUUUGUCUUUAGCAACAAGCAGUAAUCAAGAAUCACUGCAAAUUUCAAUCUUAGGAGGCUUAAACCAGUGGAUUUCAUGCCUCAGUGUUCACAUGCAGAUCAAGAUAAGCCAAGCCUUGCCCACAGCAUUUUAAAGAACAGCUCCGCACUCUUGCAUCCAUAGGCACCUGUUUAGUGAGGCAGUACGAUGAAGACCUCCAUAUGAGGAAAUGGAACUUAAGCUCUGCUGUGCAGUAACAGCGAUAGCAAACAGAACCCUCAUGAAUAAAAGCCUCUCUGAAGCUUUAUUUAAACAAUAUUCUAGGGGGACACAAUUUUCCUUAGCAUAGCACAUAUCUUUUUAUGUGAAGAUCAGCUGUGCUCAAAUAUUCAGUCCAUUACUUCAUGAUCAAAAAAUGGGCUUUCUGGUCAUUUGUUGCAUGUCUCAGUACAUCUUUGUUUCUUUUAGCCAGUUUGCAAACCUUUCCCUACUUGGACAAUUGCACUAGUUUGAAGUUCAACCUUAAAAAUAAAUAAGUGUUAAGCUGUUUCUGCAGUAUGUCAAAGUAUAUUUGCACAAUGAAAACAUUCCUUCCAUUGCGGCACUUAAGGCAGAAAUAGAUACUAUUUCACAAGCUUUAGGAAAUAUAGGUUACUAGAAUCUGAAGAUAUGAAAUGUUGUAAUGUCCUACCACCAAAUUCCCAAUGAGACACGUUCAGCACGACAAAUCUCUCCAUGCUGAACAUUCCUUAUACCAGUGAUAUGCACCCAGUCUUCUAGCAAGUUUAAAACAUUCAAUAACGUCUUAUUUGCUGGGGCAAAUAUUGGAGAAAUUGUCUCAUUCAUGUUGAAGUAACCUCAUUUUCUAAAGCCAAAAUGUGAAGUCAACUAUUGAUGAGAAAAUAUUUAACAAUCCCUUCCUAUUGUGUCCAUUUCAUCACAGUACAUUUUUAGAUGAGUUACAUCUAUGACUGACAAAUUUAUCAUCGUUUCUGUUUUAGCUUCUCACGUAUUAAUGCAUUAUGUUUUAAACCGCCAUACACACAUUCGGUUCUAAUUAUAAAAUUGUAUCAUACAUGGUUUAGUGCAUUAGCAUGUUGCGAAAGAAAGUAGUCCCUGUUCAUUGCAGGAGACUUGGACUAGACGACCUUUAAGGGUCCCUUCCAGUUUAAACAGUUGUAUGAUUCCAUGAACUGCUGAAAGUCUCUUUAAAAUCCCCACCUCCUCACUCUCUAACUGCUUAAAAAUGCAAUGGGGCAAUCUUCAUUUUGUGCGCAAAGUAACUUCUAGCAGAUGGAAAGCAUUUUAAGAUCCUUUCAGCUACAGGUUUAGAAAUAACAGUCUUGCAGGGACAUGCCUUAGCAUUUCCACAUAUUCAGAGCUGGCAAAAUGUAAUACUUCCUGUAAUUCUGAAACGCUUAACAGAUGAAAAGGAGAGAUUGAUAACUCAUUACACAACUUUCAGGAUGAAACGAUGACCUAUUUUAGUGUAAUUUGCUGUGUUACACGUUGUAUGUGCUUGGCAAUUAGGUAAAAGCAGGUAUCAUUUCUCGCUACCAUUCAUCUAUAGACAAAUGAGUGUAUACCCAGAGAAAAUAUUACCUUAUUAUCUACCAACAUGACAUACUGACAGAAUUUAAACCAUUUUGUUAUUGUAUACAUUUAAUAUUUUUAGAUAUCCCUAAUACUGUUUCAUUGCUGUCUUGAAAGUAAUUAAGAAAGCAGUGAGUUAUUUAGCUUUCGACCCUGAACUCAUAAAGAAGUAUUGGGAAAAAAUCAGUAUUUCUAUAGUUUGCGGCAACAGUGGUUAGUGAGAAAAUAUGGCAUUUCC